AUUGGCCUGGCGCAGUCCUCUAAAAUCCAAAUAUCGCGAGACUUGGUACUGCAAGUCGCUGACAUCGAACCUCUUCUGUAAAAGAAUCCACGACCUCAGGCGUGUGACAUCCUCCCAGGACCGUAAAGGACAGUAGGACCUGGGUUCUGUUCCCAGCAACCACAUGGUGGCUCACAACCAAUCUGUAUAUCUAGUUCCAGAGGACCUGAUGAAAGUAAUUUUUUUUUUAAGAAAGAAAAUAAGAUAACCUCCAGGUGAAUACAAAGAUCAGGGAGAAACAGCAGGGGAAACUGAGCCAUCCCAAGUCCUGCUCCUGAUAGUGACAUAUUAAGUACAUUAUGGAUACAUAGGAUACAUAUGGAUACAUAGAACAGAGAACACAGAAGCCAUUGUCUUGGACCAUGAGAACAAGGACCACAAGCCCAGGAAGGGGACUGUGGAGCAGUGAAUAAAAGGGAGUCAAGAGCUCUGACUGCAAGAGCAGAGCACCUACCUCUCAGAGUUGAUGCCUUACCUCCUUUGAGCCACCCUUUUGUUUGCAUGGCAGCUUUGGUUUAGCGAUUGCUUUUGUGUGCUGCUUCUACCCUUAUUACUUUGCUGCAUCCAUUCAGCAUUCACUCUCGUCUCCCUGCCUUGAGGGAUGGCCUCCAUCACCAACACUAGCUAUGGUUGAGCAAGUCUACCCAAUGGCAAUUCUUCCCAUUUCUGUUCUCCACCCAAUACUAUGCCUUUCACAUUCACAUUGUCAGCAUGGGUCCCAUUGGUAUGCUUUUGACUGACAGUCUCACUUUAAAGGUGGAGGUAGGCUGGGGGUGGUUUAUCUUUUCUUCUUAGUCUCUGAAAUGCCAGAAUUGUGCCUUUUGCUCUGCAGCACCAGAUGCCACCUUAGAUGCCCUGAUUUGUGACCGUAUCUCACUCACUAAGUAUCAUACCACCACCUUCAGGCCUCUUAUGCUUAGCUACAUUUAGGUGCCUGCCACAUGGUGGUAUAACAACUUACAAAAGUAUUUUGACCGAUACAUCUGAACUAGAACCUAGUACCUACUUCAUAUCCAUUCCUUCUGGACAUUUCUCUUUGGCUGUAUCUUGUUUGUUUUGGGGUAGAGUCUUACCGUGUAUCCCUGGCUGGCUUCAGAGUCACAAACUUCUUGCCUUAGUCCCCCAAGUGUUUAAUAAUAAAAUUUGUAUUUUAUAA